UACGGGGGGGGCAAGCGUUGUUCGGAAUUACUGGGCGUAAAGGGCUCGUAGGUGGCCAACUAAGUCAGACGUGAAAUCCCUCGGCUUAACCGGGGAACUGCGUCUGAUACUGGAUGGCUAGAGUUUGGGAGAGGGAUGCGGAAUUCCAGGUGUAGCGGUGAAAUGCGUAGAUAUCUGGAGGAACACCGGUGGCGAAGGCGGCAUCCUGGACCAACACUGACGCUGAGUGAGCGAAAGCCAGGGGAGCAAACGGG
rnacentral:rRNA from 1 species